GUGAGGAAUAUUGCACAAUGGGCGCAAGCCUGAUGCAGCGACGCCGCGUGGGUGAAGAAGGUUUUCGGAUCGUAAAACCCUUUUCUGUGUGACGAGCAAGGACGGUAGCACAGGAAUAAGUCUCGGCUAACUACGUGCCAGCAGCCGCGGUAAAACGUAGGAGACAAACGUUAUCCGGAGUUACUGGGCGUAAAGGGCGUGUAGGUGGUUUCGUAAGUCUGGCGUGAAAUUUUUCGGCUUAACCGGGAAAGGUCGUCGGAUACUGCGGGACUAGAGGACGGUAGAGGCGUGUGGAAUUCCGGGUGUAGUGGUGAAAUGCGUAGAGAUCCGGAGGAACACCAGUGGCGAAGGCGACACGCUGGGCCGUACCUGACACUGAGGCGCGAUAGCAUGGGGAGCAAACAGGAUUAGAAACCCCUGUAGUCC
rnacentral:rRNA from 1 species